AAACAGAAAACCAUAAAAAAGGUGUCUCUUUUCAUUUUUUUUUUCACUUGGACACAUUCUUCACACACCUCCUUCACCCACUUCAAAUACCAUACAAAACACAAAAUACACUUGUCAACAAGGAGAGAAGGGAGGUUCCCUUUUUCACUGCUCUUUGGGGGCAGGAAGAGGAAGCAGACUUGAAGAAACAGUGAAGCUGCGAUCUCGGCUGUUAUGUGAUGUCCCCAAUUCCCUUUUGACUGAAAGGGAAGCGAGUGAUGGUGUUUUGACCUUCUGUUGUUUCUCUUGAUUCUUCUUUUGUUGUUGUUGUUUCAUUUGAUCCAAAAUCAUCAAACCCUUCAAACGGCUAAUCGAACGAACACUAUUUCUUCCACCAGAAACAGUCAACGGAUUCUUAUCAUU
rnacentral:ribozyme from 13 species